rnacentral:rRNA from 1 species
AUUGAACGCUGGCGGCAGGCCUAACACAUGCAAGUCGAGCGAGAGGCGGACGGGUGAGUAUUGUCUGGGAGAAUGUCUGAGGGAGGGGGAGAACUACUGGAAACGGUAGCUAAUACCGCAUACCCUAAGAUGUGCCCAGAUGGGAUUAGCGAGUAGGUGGGGGAACGGCUCACCUAGGCGACGAGCCCUAGCUGGUCUGAGAGGAUGACCAGCCACACUGGAACUGAGACACGGUCCCGACUCCUACGGGAGGCAGCAGUGGGGAAUAUUGCACAAGGGGCGCAAGCCUGAUGCAGCCAUGCCGCGUGUGUGAAGAAGGCCUUCGGGUUGUAAAGCACUUUCAGCGAGGAGGCGUUACUCGCAGAAGAAGCACCGGCUAACUCCGUGCCAGCAGCCGCGGUAAUUC